AACUUUUGACAACGGAUCUCUUGGUUCUGGCAUCGAUGAAGAACGCAGCGAAAUGCGAUAAGUGGUGUGAAUUGCAGAAUUCAGGGAAUCAUCGAAUCUUUGAACGCACAUUGCGCCCCUUGGUAUUCCAUGGGGCAUGCCUGUUCGAGCGUCAUUUGUACCCUCCAGCCCUGCUGGGUGUUGGGCGUUUGUUCCGCCGCGCGCGUGAACUCGCCUCAAAUGCAUUGGCAGCCCGCCGUCCCGUGUGGGAGCGCAGCACAUUUUGCGCUCUCCGCUGCAGACGGUGGCGUCCACAAGUCUAACAUUUCACGCUUGACCUCGGAUCAGGUAGGGAUCCCCGCUGACCUUAAGCAUAUCAAUAAGCGGAGGCU
rnacentral:misc_RNA from 1 species